CGAUCUCAGUUCAGAUUGCAGGCUGCAACUCGCCUGCAUGAAGUCGGAAUUGCUAGUAAUCGUAGGUCAGCAUACUACGGUGAAUACGUUCCCGGGCCUUGUACACACCGCCCGUCAAACCAUGAGAGUUGGCAACACCCGAAGUCGGUAGUCUAACCGCAAGGAGGACGCCGCCGAAGGUGGGGUUGAUGAUUAGGGUUAAGUCGUAACAAGGUACC
rnacentral:rRNA from 1 species